GAGAGAUUCUACGGUACUGAUGAAUAAGCGCGGCUAAUUCGUGCAGCAGCGCGUAAUACGGGAGUGCCAAGCGUAUCGGAAUUAUUGGGCGUAAAGCGUCGCAGGCGACCCUUCAAGUCUGCUGUUAAAAAGUGGAGCUUAACUCAUCAUGGCAGUGGAAACUGUUGGGCUUGAGUGUGGUAGGGGCAGAGGGAAUUCCCGGUGUAGCGGUGAAAUGCGUAGAUAUCGGGAAGAACACCAGUGGCGAAGGCGCUCUGCUGGGCCAUCACUGACGCUCAUGGACGAAAGCCAGGGGAGCGAAAGGGAUUAGAUACCCCUGUAGUCCUGGCCGUAAACGAUGAACACUAGGUGUCGGGGGAAUCGACCCCCUCGGUGUCGUAGCCAACGCGUUAAGUGUUCCGCCUGGGGAGUACGCACGCAAGUGUGAAACUCAAAGGAAUUGACGGGGGCCCGCACAAGCGGUGGAGUAUGUGGUUUAAUUCGAUGCAACGCGAAGAACCUUACCAGGGUUUGACAUCCUGCGAAUCUCUUGGAAACGAGAGAGUGCCUUCGGGAGCGCAGUGACAGGUGGUGCAUGGCUGUCGUCAGCUCGUGUCGUGAGAUGUUGGGUUAAGUCCCGCAACGAGCGCAACCCACGUCUUUAGUUGCCAGCAUUCAGUUGGGCACUCUAGAGAGACCGCCGGUGAUAAACCGGAGGAAGGUGUGGAUGACGUCAAGUCAUCAUGCCCCUUACAUCCUGGGCUACACACGUACUACAAUGCUACGGACAAAGGGCAGCAAGUUCGCGAGGACAAGCAAAUCCCAUAAACCGUGGCUCAGUUCAGAUCGUAGGCUGCAACUCGCCUACGUGAAGGAGGAAUCGCUAGUAAUCGCAGGUCAGCAUACUGCGGUGAAUACGUUCCCGGGCCUUGUACACACCGCCCGUCACACCAUGGAAGUUGGCCACGCCCGAAGCCGUUACUCCAACCCUUGU
rnacentral:rRNA from 1 species